rnacentral:rRNA from 1 species
UACGUAGGGUGCGAGCGUUGUCCGGAAUUAUUGGGCGUAAAGAGCUUGUAGGCGGUUUGUCGCGUCUGCUGUGAAAUUUCGGGGCUCAACCCCGAACUUGCAGUGGGUACGGGCAGACUAGAGUGUGGGUAGGGGAGACUGGAAUUCCUGGUGUAGCGGUGAAAUGCGCAGAUAUCAGGAGGAACACCGAUGGCGAAGGCAGGUCUCUGGGCCACUACUGACGCUGAGAAGCGAAAGCUGGGGGAGCGAACAGG